GACGGGUGAGUAACGCGUAGGAAUCUGUCUUUGGAUGGGGGACAACCGUGGGAAACUACGGCUAAUACCGCAUGAUGCCUGAGGGCCAAAGCUCGCGAGAGCGUCUGAAGAGGAGCCUGCGUCUGAUUAGGUAGUUGGUGGGGUAAAGGCCUACCAAGCCUGCGAUCAGUAGCUGGUCUGAGAGGAUGAUCAGCCACAUUGGGACUGAGACACGGCCCAAACUCCUACGGGAGGCAGCAGUGGGGAAUAUUGGACAAUGGGCGCAAGCCUGAUCCAGCAAUGCCGCGUGGGUGAAGAAGGUUUUCGGAUUGUAAAGCCCUUUUGGCGGGGACGAUGAUGACGGUACCCGCAGAAUAAGCUCCGGCUAACUUCGUGCCAGCAGCCGCGGUAAUACGAAGGGGGCUAGCGUUGCUCGGAAUGACUGGGCGUAAAGGGCGCGUAGGCGGCUUGUGCAGUCAGGCGUGAAAUUCCUGGGCUCAACCUGGGGACUGCGUCUGAUACGUGCUGGCUUGAGUAUGGAAGAGGGUCGUGGAGUUUCCAGUGUAGAGGUGAAAUUCGUAGAUAUUGGAAAGAACACCGGUGGCGAAGGCGGCGACCUGGUCCAUUACUGACGCUGAGGCGCGAAAGCGUGGGGAGCAAACAGGAUUAGAUACCCUGGUAGUCCACGCUGUGAACGAUGUGUGCUGGAUGUUGGGGUGCUUAGCACUUCAGUGUCGUAGCUAACGCGGUAAGCACACCGCCUGGGGAGUACGGCCGCAAGGUUGAAACUCAAGGAAUUGACGGGGGCCCGCAC
rnacentral:rRNA from 1 species